rnacentral:rRNA from 1 species
UGGUGGAGCGAUUUGUCUGGUUAAUUCCGAUAACGAACGAGACUCUGGCCUAUUAAAUAGUUCGCCGAUUCCGAUCUGUCGGCGUUAACUUCUUAGAGGGACAAGUGGCUUUUAGCCACGCAGAUUGAGCAAUAACA